rnacentral:rRNA from 1 species
UACGGGGGGGGCAAGCGUUGUUCGGAAUUACUGGGCGUAAAGGGUUCGUAGGUGGCCAACUAAGUCAUACGUGAAAUCCCUCAGCUUAACUGGGGAACUGCGUCUGAUACUGGUUGGCUUGAGUGCAGGAGAGGAACGCGGAAUUCCAGGUGUAGCGGUGAAAUGCGUAGAUAUCUGGAGGAACACCGGUGGCGAAGGCGGCUCACUGGCCCGGUACUGACGCUGAGGCGCGAAAGCGUGGGGAGCAAACAGG